UUAUCUCGUACUGUAUGUUUCCCACAUUAAUUUCAUUUUUCUAGUCCAUAUUUUCCAAUAAAAUCUCCACAGGUGCCUUUCCUUACCUUAGUACUGAAGUUCCUGUUACAAAAUGUUGGGGCUGCCUUUUCCUCUGCUUUGUAAUGCGAGUUCUUCAUACAAGUUUUCUAUGCUUUCUUCAUAUUUAUUCACUGUUUGUACGAUACUGUUUCCUGUGGGAUUUCUUUUAAGUUGGCUAAAUACUGUGGUACCAAGUUCAUGAAGGCUACACUUAAUGUCCCCUCCCCUUUUUGCUAGGGUUGUGAUGUCAUAAUAAUGCUGUGCAGUCUUGUUGCCAUUGGGCUCUGUGAUCAUCUCCAAAGCACGAUACCUCCCACAAAGAUCUAGGCUUCCUAGAAAGCAUUGGGGCAGUUUCUUUUUUAUAUACGAGGUAGGCUGGGGACAGCCUGGAAGACAGGAUUUAUUGCAGGUGAGGGAAAUGGAGGUGUGUGCCUGUGGACAAGAAUUCCCAGAAUUCAGUGUGUGGAAUUCUUGGACAAAUGACAAACCCCUAGUUUUUGAUAGCUAACCUGCAAUUUGGGUGAAGCCUUCAGCACAUUUUGAAAUUUGUCAAUGUUUCAUUUAUUUUGACAAAAGAUAUUUCUAAGCCAAUCAGAAAGGUAGAUUUUGGAAGGGAAACAAAGGCAACAUGCACAGUGUUGAAAUGCUGCUCCGUAUGUGCCUCCCAUCCGGUGGUGCCUUUUCUCUUGCUGUUUGUUGACAAGAGUCAUUCUAUUAUCUCAGAACCAGGAUGUCUGUCCCCCAUGACUUUGGAUGGAAUAGAGAAGAGGAAAAAAAAAAAAUCUGAAACACAGGUGUUUGUUAACCAUUCAAGGGAAACAGGAAAAAACAAAGUUUUGGAGGACCUGUUGAAGGAAGUUUCUCUGCCCCACCACUGAAGGUCUCCUGCCAUGCUUUUAAGACCAAGAUUUUCCUUGAAGCAUGCAGCAGUGACAGGGUAUGAUGAUGAAUUGUACCAAAUAAUUGCUUUUGUUUUGAUUGUUAACAUUUCUUGUAUGGCAUUUUGAUUUGUUUUAAUGUUUAGUGGAACUUCCCAUGGUAUCGCACCUAGUGUCUUGUUUUGGAGUUCUACGGAUCACAACCUCCAUGAAGGGAGUCCUCUGAAAAUUGUGGAGGCCAGCCUUCCCUAAUCCUAUUUGUAUCUCAAAUAUGUUGAGAUACAAUUCUUAUUGCCUGCCAUGGCCCAAGUCAUAAAGUACAUACAUGUAAUAAAGUAUAUGUACAUGUAAUUUUUGGAAGAAAG
rnacentral:lncRNA from 1 species